CUAGCUUGCUAAUAAUUCUCUAGUGGCGCACGGGUGAGUAACACGUGAGUACCUGCCCCCAAGAGUGGGAUAGCCCCGGGAAACUGGGAUUAAUACCGCAUAAAGCAAUAAAGCAGCAAUGCGCUUGGGGAUGGGCUCGCGUCCUAUUAGUUAGUUGGUGAGGUAACGGCUCACCAAGGCGAUGACGGGUAGCCGGUCUGAGAGGAUGUCCGGCCACACUGGAACUGAGACACGGUCCAGACACCUACGGGUGGCAGCAGUCGAGAAUCAUUCACAAUGGGGGAAACCCUGAUGGUGCGACGCCGCGUGGGGGAUAAGGUCUUCGGAUUGUAAACCCCUGUCAUGUGGGACAUUAAAAAGAUAGUACCACAAGAGGAAGAGACGGCUAACUCUGUGCCAGCAGCCGCGGUAAUACAGAGGUCUCAAGCGUUGUUCGGAAUCACUGGGCGUAAAGCGUGCGUAGGCGGUUUCGUAAGUCGUGUGUGAAAGGCGGGGGCUCAACCCCCGGACUGCACAUGAUACUGCGAGACUAGAGUAAUGGAGGGGGAACCGGAAUUCUCGGUGUAGCAGUGAAAUGCGUAGAUAUCGAGAGGAACACUCGUGGCGAAGGCGGGUUCCUGGACAUUAACUGACGCUGAGGCACGAAGGCCAGGGGAGCGAAAGGGAUUAGAUACUCCUGUAGUCCUGGCAGUAAACGGUG
rnacentral:rRNA from 1 species